CAGAACAUGGCCAAGAUGUUCAAAUCUUCAUAAAUGACCAGCAUGGUCAAAUAAUAGGUCUGGAACAGGUAGCACGUCCGGUGAACAGGUCAGGAUUCCAUAGCCGCAGGCAGAACAGUUGAAACUGGAGCAGCAGCACGGCCAGGUGGACUGGGGACAGCAAUGAGUCAUCAUGCCAGGUAGUCCUGGGGAAUGGUCCUAGGGCUCAGGUCCUCCGAGAGAGAGAAAGAAAGAGAGAAUUAGAGAGAGCACACUUAAAUUCACACAGGACACCGAAUAGGACAGGAGAAGUACUCCAGAUAUAACAAACUGACCCUAGCCCCCUGACAGAUAAACUACUGCAGUAUAAAUACUGGAGGCUGAGACAGGAGGGGUCAGGAGACACUGUGGCCCCAUCCGAUGAUACCCCCAGACAGGGCCAAACAGGCAGGAUAUAAUCCCACCCACAUUGCCAAAGCACAGCCCCCACACCACUAGAGGGAUAUCUUCAACCACCAACUUACCAUCCUGAGACAAGGCCGAGUAUAGCCCACAAAGAUCUUGGUGUGGAGUUAGUCAGCUUGGUGUGGAGUUUGUCAGCUUGGUGUGGAGUUUGUCAGCUUGGUGUGUAGUUAGUCAGCUUUGUGUUGAGUUAGUCAGCUUGCUGUUGAGUUAGUCAGCUUGAUGUUGAGUUAGUCAGUUUGGUGUUGAGUUAGUCAGCUUGAUGUUGAGUUAGUCAGCUUGGUGUGGAGUUAGUCAGCUUGGUGUGGAGUUAGUCAGCUUGCUGUGGAGUUAGUCAGCUUGGUGUUGAGUUAGUUAGCUUGGCGUGGUGUUAGUCAGCUUGGUUGGAGUUAGUCAGCUUGGUGUUGAGUUAGUCAACUUGCUGUUGGGUUAGUCAGCUUGAUGUUGAGUUAGUUAGCUUGCUGUUGAGUUAGUCAGCUUGAUGUUGAGUUAGUCAGCUUGGUGUUGAGUUAGUUAGCUUGGUGUGGAAUUAGUCACCUUGGUGUGGAGUUAGUCAGCUUGUUGUGGGGUUAGUCAGCUUGGUGUUGAGUUAGUCAGCUUGGUGUUGUGUACUUAGUAGGAAUGGACAUUUGAAAUUAUUUCACUAUUCAAAUAAUGUCAUACAUUUGCGGACUUGCCUGCAUGACUCAGGAGAGGAUCUGCUUGUUGUUUCAGCACAAACAGGUGGGGGAAGGGUGUGAGAGGCGCAGGGGCCAUUGUGUCUGACACUGAGGGAGAGAGAGACUGACACUGAGGGAGAGAGAGACUGACACUGAGGGAGAGAGAUUGACACUGAGGGAGAGAGAGACUGACACUGAGGGAGAGAGAGACUGACACUGAGAGAGAGAGAGACUGACACUGAGGGAGAGAGAGACUGACACUGAGGGAGAGAGAGACUGACACUGAGAGAGAGAGAGACUGACACUGAGGGAGAGAGAGACUGACACAGAGAGAGAGAGACUGACAAUGAGAGAGAGAGAGACUGACACUGAGGGAGAGAGAGACUGACACUAAGGGAGAGAGAGACUGACACUGAGGGAGAGAGAGACUGACACUGAGGGAGAGAGAGACUGACACUG
ensembl:lncRNA